rnacentral:misc_RNA from 1 species
UUUUGAUGGUUACCCUCUUCAUGACGAGGGUUAAGAAAUGCACAAAGAAGAACUCGAUCCAAACGGCAUUUUUCUCAUUCACGACUUCCUUUCACCGGAAGAGUGUCAGCGUUUCAUCGGGGUGACUGAGGAAACCGGCUACGGCGAUGCACCAAUCAAUUCGUUGGGCGGUUUCAUCAUGCGCAAAGACGUGCGCAACAACAGUCGAGUGAUGAUCGACGACGUUCCACUCGCGCAGCAGUUGUGGCGACGCGCAAGCGAGUUUAUCCCAUCACGUUAUCUCCGCUGGGAAUCGGUUGGACUGAACGAGCGCUUUCGGUAUUACCGCUAUGAAAUUGGUCAGCGCUUCGCCGUCCAUGCCGACGGCUGUUUCGAACGCGACAAUGGCGAACGCAGCCACUUCACGUUCAUGGUCUACCUGAACGAUGGCUUUCGCGGCGGCACAACGAACUUUUACUUGUAUGGAGAUGAAAAACUGAUCGUGUGGCCAAAACGCGGAACAGCCCUGGUCUUCCAUCAUCCUUUGCUUCACGAAGGAACUCCCGUCGACAAGGGCGUCAAAUAUGUGAUGAGGACCGAUGUCAUGUAUCGAUUCGCGACAUCCGGAUGAUGUGGGGCGUUGCCUCCUUACAAUAAGGAGGCUCGUUCUAUUUCAGGAUGAUUCCAUGCCGUCUCGAUUUCAACUUGUCAGUGACUAUCAACCGGCCGGCGAUCAGCCCAAGGCGAUCGCUCAGCUGGUUGAAGGAUUCAACGCCGGCAAACGCCACCAAGUGCUCCUCGGUGCGACCGGCACCGGGAAGACCUACAGCGCAGCGCACGUAAUCCAACAGCUUCAGAAACCCACGCUUGUACUCGCUCAUAACAAGACACUGGCGGCGCAGCUUUACAAGGAACUCAAAGGUUUCUUUCCCAACAACGCCGUCAACUAUUUCGUCAGCUAUUACGAUUACUAUCAACCCGAAGCCUAUAUCCCGCAGCGCGACAUCUACAUCGAAAAGGAUUCGUCGAUCAACGAGAACAUCGAUCGACUUCGACUCGCUGCCACCACGUCGCUGGUGAGCCGGCAGGAUGUGAUUAUCGUCGCGUCGGUGUCCUGCAUCUAUGGCCUCGGCUCGCCCAGCGAUUACAAGCGGAUGAUGGUUCAUCUCACGAAGGGCGAAGUCGUCGAUCGCGACAACAUCCUCUUGAAGCUCGUCGAUAUUCAGUAUCAGCGGAACGAUGUGGAGUUCCAGCGCGGCCGUUUCCGCGUGCGCGGCGACACCAUCGAGAUCUGGCCUGCAUCGGAAGAAUACGCGCUGCGCAUUGAAUUGUUCGGCGAUGAAGUGGAACAACUGGCGACCAUCAAACCCGUUACAGGUGAAACGAUUCAGCAGCUCGACGAGCUUUACGUCUAUCCCGCUCGCCAUUUCGUUACACCAGAGGUGCGCACGCGGGCCGCCAUCGAGGGGAUCGAACAGGAACUCAACCAGCGUCUCGCCACGUUCAAAACGGAAGGCAAGCUGCUCGAAGCCGAACGCCUGCGAGCACGCUGCACCUACGAUCUCGACAUGCUCCGCGAAGUCGGCUACUGCUCGGGCAUCGAAAACUACGCCCGUUGGUUCUCGGGCCGCAACGCGGGCGAACCGCCCUACACCCUAAUCGACUUCUUCCC